AGGUUUAAUUCAUACACUUCUUGACCUUUGGUCUUCAAUCUCAUUGCUGAAUGCAGAUUUUGUAUAGUCAAUCAAUCCACAGUAAUUCAUCCUGUUAUAAGUUCAGCUUAUGCAUGGUCAUUCAUCAUUCAGCUUCUUGAUUUUCAGGUGGGAUAUCAGUGCCAUAGAUCAACUGCCAGAGUACAUGAGAGUGUGUUAUCAAGCACUCUUAUAUGUAUACAGUGAAAUUGAGGAAGAAAUGGCCAAGGAAGGAAGAUCGUAUCGGCUCUACUAUGCAAAAGAAGCAGUAAGGCUUACAUGUGAUUAUUAUACUUUAAGAAGCAAUAAAUUUAAUAACCAUACUGAUGAAAUGAAAACCAAAUCCAUUGCUCAGAUGAAAAAUCAAGUAAGAGCAUACUAUGAGGAAGCCAAAUGGCUUCAAGUGCAACAAAUUCCAACCAUGGAGGAGUACAUGCCUGUGGCGUUAGUUACCUCUGCAUACUCAAUGCUGGCGACCACAUCGUUUGUUGGAAUGGGAGAUGCUGUGACAAAAGAAAGCUUCGAUUGGAUUUUCAGUAAGCCUAAGAUUGUAAGGGCUUCAGCCAUAGUUUGCAGGCUCAUGGAUGAUAUGGUUUCCCACAAGGUAUGGUAAUCCUUAUGCUGUUUCAGAAUAAUAACUCACAAAUCAGUAAAUAUUUUGAUACCAUGAAUUAUUGGAGCUACUAGAUAUGUAUAAUUUCUGAAAUUCAAAUGGCUCAAAUAAUUAUUUUUAUAUAUUUGUACUUUCCACUAACCUCUAUGAUUCUAUAUUUUGUAGUUUGAGCAGAAGAGAGGACAUGUUGCCUCAGCUGUUGAAUGUUACAUGAAGCAACAUGGUGCGUCGGAGCAGGAAACGCACAACGAAUUUCACAAACAAGUAAGAGAUGCAUGGAAGGAUAUCAAUGAAGAGUGCCUCAUCCCAACAGCUGUCCCAAUGCCCAUCCUCAUGCGAGUUCUAAAUCUCGCACGUGUUAUAGAUGUUAUAUACAAGAAUGAAGAUGGCUAUACUCAUUCUGGGACUGUUCUAAAGGAUUUCGUAACUUCCAUGCUAAUUGAUCCUGUGCCAAUAUGAGGUUGGAAUUAGCUAGCUUUGCCAUCCUCCAUAAAUAAACUGGAACCUUCUCUCUGCUGCUUGCUUGGAGAGAUCUUAUAUUGCAUUUUAAUCUACUUUCUGUAAUAUGUAACUGGAAGUUUGGUUCAAAUUUUAAGAACGUUGGUUUAUGAUACCUUUAAAUCACAAAUAUUAUUGGAAGUCCAUUCUCAUGAUUAAAUUAAUUUUACAGUAUUAAUUAGCUAGCUGACAUUUCUACAAAUUCAUCCCUCUGGAUUGUCAUCUUCAUCAUUUACAAUGCACCAUGUGAUGGUGCUAAUCUGUCUGUAGGUUGUCUUAGCAGCUUCCUACAAAAAUAUAUGACCCGGACAACUUUAAACUCCAAACUGUAGAACAAAGGCAUGGCUAUCUCGCUCUAAAUCAUAGUCAUCAUACCAAGAGUCAUACUCCUCUUCAAGGAUCUAAAUACUCAGCCUCUGAUUAGUGGUAGAGUGAAAUCAACUUGUUUAAUUUCUUUUCUGUUUGGUUGCUAGUCGUGUGGCAGCAGAAGCCUAAUUUAUCAAGAUCAGAUUGGGGAUAUGAUCAAGUACUGUAAUCAGUGUAAAAUGCCAAUUGAAAGAUGAUUAAAUAGUGAACCAAUGUUGUAGGAUUUUCCUUGGGAAGGAGCUGUUUGUUUCAGUAGCAAUGGAAAGCUAGCAGCCGAGUUAACUGCUUACUGUAUGGUAAGUUUGGUUUAAGAAGAAUAUGGCAGGUGUAUGUUUCAGGGGUUGGCAGAGGAAAUGCAAGGGUUGAGUAUGAGACAUGUGGAUGUGGACAGCUUCUUAAUUAAGUUAACCUCUAGCAAAAUGAUGGAGUCGCUUUGUUUCUUUCUUGCAAUUUAGCUGCAGCUCAAGUAUGAUAAAAGUAGAAGUGUUGAUAGCUUAAAAUUGGUGAAGCUUUUACACUGGAUAGGAGAAUUUUUAUUAUAGAAUUACAAUUUUUCCAUGGCUUUGUAAUCUAAAAUAAGUUAUAAAAAUGAAAUUGUUGAAAAUUUAUCAUAGAAAUUGUUUGAUGAGUUUUAGAAUGAGUUUGCGUGCCUAGAUCUUCAAUGAACUUUUCCCAAGCAAUAAUGAGAUUUAGAACAAAGAACAGAUGAAUUUGACACCGAAAAUGAAGGAAAGUCGAUGUCUGAAGUUGGAAAGUUCUAAUUAUCGUUUGGCAUCAAAAGCAUGUGGCUCCUGCGCAUGUUGGAAGGCAUUUUCACUACGGUGUGAAGGACAAAAGCCAGUCUCAUCUCACAUGUGGCCAGGAAACAAAUUACCCUAUAUUGAUUGAUUCUGCGUGUGAGAAGUCAGCCCUUUUGUGGUGUAAGUUAGGUCGUACCAUAAUUGUAUAUGACCACCUUUUAAAUACUAUUAAUUAAAAGAUUAAAAUCACAAUUUUGAAUAGCACUAUAAUUAAGUAUUAUAAAAAUUUGUAGGUGUUAAAUAAUUUUUUAUGCAAGAUAAAAUAAAAUUUUUAUGAGAUAUAAGGUUUAUUUGAUUUUCAUUUUACAUUUCUCUAUUUUAUAAUUUUUUGACAAAAUUAGUUAAAUAAAUAAGAAAAUUCUUCUUAAAUUUAAAAGGAGUCUUUUUACUUUUAAAACAACUGAUCUAAACAUGAUCCCAUAUUUCUAAAUUUAAAAGAGAUUUUCUCAUAAAAUAUUAUCCAAUAUGUCAUAUAUAUAUAUAUAUAUCAGUGCUUUGUCUUUUUUGAAUAGUUGGAUGGAAGAAAAAAAAUUUUAAAAAUGAAAUCAAAAAUUGAAAAAAGAAAGGAAAGAGCAUUUUAAUUAAAGCUAAAAUCUAUCUACAACUUGUUGAUUCAAGAACCUAAUAAAUAAGCAAAUUUGGCCAAACCCAAAACAAACAAAUAGAAAACGAAACAAAUGAAAUAAGAUACUUAUCGAAUUGAUUGGGUGAGACAUGACAAUGCACUAUCCUUAAAAUAGAUUUAUCGUCUUCGAAGUUCUAACCUCGAUGUUAUGAAAUCAUAGAAAAUUAUAUUAUUAAAGAUCAUGGAAAGGUGUAUUUGACUAAUAGAGACUCUUAGACAUUGUUGGUGUUGACGACCUCAAUUUGAAGGUGCUAAACAUGUUUGUGUGAAUAAUAUUAUUUUUAUAAUAUUUUGAGAAAUGCUUAUUAAAAUUAUUAUUUACAAAAAUGUUAUCCUUAUAAUUUCAUUUAAAUAUUAAAGAAAUUAUUUUUAUAAUUUAUUAACAAGUUUGAUGAUUAAAAUAUACCUAUAUAGAAACAUGAUAAUAAAACAAAAUGAAUCAAAUGGCCUGCAUGCACUGUUGCUUGAUACACAAUUCAAACAUGAAAUACUAUGACCACUACGCAACAAAAAUUAUUAAAAUAAUAAAAUUAAUGAACUUUGAAUGAUUUAUAAUUUAAUAAUAACAAAAAAAAAAAAAAAAAAAACAAAACAAAUAUCUCAUACCUGGUGGUGAGUGGUGUUAUGAACCUGAAUGGAGAUUUUGACUUUGCAUCAUUGUAUGGGCGUGUCUGUGUAGAUGGUGGUGGAGACGUGCGGGAUAUGGUAGCAGCAUGGCGGUAGUCAAGUUGUGGGUGAUGGCGGAGAGCGGACUGGUGGUGUCAAUGGAGGAUGAAUGUGGCAGCCAUGAUGCUAGUGUAUUUACAUGGUGAUGAUCGGAGAGAUGGUGGCAGCGGCUUGGACUCUGGGCAUUGACAAGUGACAACAAGGUGAAAGAGAGGUGAGAUGGAGGUAGUGAUUGCAUGAACAGAGAUGAAGGUGUGUGGCGGCGACGAUGGUAUUUACAGUAGCGGAUGAUGGAGACGGAGCCCCGAGAGAAGAGGAGGAGAGAGGGGAAAAGAGGACCCCCUUUCUCUUUUUAUAUCAUUCUUGUCUUUCCUAAAAAUAUUCUACCUUAUUUUCUUCCCAAACAAAUCUGCU
rnacentral:lncRNA from 1 species